UGAAAUGCUGAAUACAACAGGUGUAGUAGACCUUACAGUGAAAUGCUGAAUACAACAGGUGUAGUAGACCUUACAGUGAAAUGCUGAAUAAAACAGGUGUAGUAGACCUUACAGUGAAAUGCUGAAUACAACAGGUGUAGUAGACCUUACAGUGAAAUGCCGAAUACAACAGGUGUACUAGACCUUACAGUGAAAUGCUGAAUACAACAGGUGUAGUAGACCUUACAGUGAAAUGCUGAAUACAACAGGUGUAAUAGACCUCACAGUGAAAUGCUGAAUACAACAGGUGUAGUAGACCUUACAGUGAAAUGCUGAAUACAACAGGUGUAGUAGACCUUACAGUGAAAUGCUGAAUACAACAGGUGUAAUAGACCUCACAGUGAAAUGCUGAAUACAACAGGUGUAGUAGACCUUACAGUGAAAUGCUGAAUACAACAGGUGUAGUAGACCUUACAGUGAAAUGCUGAAUACAACAGGUGUAAUAGACCUCACAGUGAAAUGCUGAAUACAACAGGUGUAGUAGACCUUACAGUGAAAUGCUGAAUACAACAGGUGUAAUAGACCUCACAGUGAAAUGCUGAAUACAACAGGUGUAGUAGACCUUACAGUGAAAUGCUGAAUACAACAGGUGUAGUAGACCUUACAGUGAAAUGCUGAAUACAACAGGUGUAAUAGACCUCACAGUGAAAUGCUGAAUACAACAGGUGUAGUAGACCUUACAGUGAAAUGCUGAAUACAACAGGUGUAAUAGACCUCACAGUGAAAUGCUGAAUACAACAGGUGUAGUAGACCUUACAGUGAAAUGCUGAAUACAACAGGUGUAGUAGACCUUACAGUGAAAUGCUGAAUACAACAGGUGUAAUAGACCUCACAGUGAAAUGCUGAAUACAACAGGUGUAGUAGACCUUACAGUGAAAUGCUGAA